UACGAAGGGUGCAAGCGUUGUUCGGAAUUAUUGGGCGUAAAGGGCGUGUAGGCGGGCUUGUAAGUCGACUGUGAAAUCCCUGGGCUCAACCCAGGAAUGGCAGUCGAUACUGCAGGUCUUGAAUGCUUGAGAGGGUGGCGGAAUUCCAGGUGUAGAAGUGAAAUUCGUAGAUAUCUGGAGGAACAUCCGUGGCGAAGGCGGCCACCUGGCAAGACAUUGACGCUGAGACGCGAAAGCGUGGGGAGCAAACAGG
rnacentral:rRNA from 1 species